rnacentral:rRNA from 1 species
ACGCUGGCGGCGUGCUUAAUACAUGCAAGUCAACUUGACUUUAGAUAGCAAUAUCGAAAGUAGGGUGGCGCACGGGUGCGUAACGCGUAGGUAAUCUGCCCUGAGGUCUGACAUAACCCGUCGAAAGGCGGGCUAACAUCAGAUGAUAUAUAGUCACGACAUCGUGGAAAUAUCAAAUCUUCGGAGCCUUGGGAUGAGCCUGCGUCUGAUUAGGUAGUUGGCGGAGUAAUAGCCCACCAAGCCUACGAUCAGUAGCUGGUCUGAGAGGAUGAUCAGCCACACUGGAACUGAGACAACGGUCCAGACUCCUACGGGAGGCAGCAGUAAGGAAUAUUGCUCAAUGGGGGGAAACCCUGAAGCAGCAACGCCGCGUGAAGGAUGAAAUACUUUUGUAUGUAAACUUCUGUAAGAUGGGAAAAAUAUUCUCCUCGGGGAGAAUUGAUUGUACCAUCAGAGUAAGCCCCGGCUAACUACGUG